rnacentral:rRNA from 1 species
AACGAACGUUAGCGGCGCGCCUAAGACAUGCAAGUCGAGCGAGAAAGGGCUUCGGCCCCGGUAAAGCGGCGCACGGGUGAGUAACACGUAGGUAAUCAACCCUCGGGUGGUGGAUAACUCUCCGAAAGGAGAGCUAAUACAGCAUGAUGCUAGCAAUAGCCAAAGCGGGCCUCUUCACGAAAGCUCGCGCCGGAGGAUGAGCCUGCGGCCCAUCAGGUAGUUGGCGGAGUAACAGCCCACCAAGCCAUAGACGGGUAGCUGGUCUGAGAGGAUGAACAGCCACACUGGAACUGAGACACGGUCCAGACUCCUACGGGUGGCAG